AUCAUUCACAAUGGGGGAAACCCUGAUCCAGCGACGCCGCGUGAGUGAAGAAGUAUCUCGGUAUGUAAAGCUCUGUCAGCAGGGAAGAAAGAAAUGACGGUACCUGACCAAGAAGCCCCNGCUAACUAAGUGCAAGCAGCCGCGGUAAUACGUAGGGGGCAAGCGUUAUCCGGAAUCACUGGGUGUAAAGGGAGCGUAGACGGUGAUGCAAGUCUGGAGUGAAAGGCGGGGGCCCAACCCCCGGACUGCUCUGGAAACUGUGUAACUGGAGUGCAGGAGAGGCAGGCGGAAUUCCUGGUGUAGCGGUGAAAUGCGUAGAUAUCAGGAGGAACACCGGUGGCGAAGGCGGCCUGCUGGACUGUAACUGACGUUGAGGCUCGAAAGCGUGGGGAGCAAA
rnacentral:rRNA from 1 species